rfam:Acetobacterium wieringae strain DSM 1911 ACWI_contig000027, whole genome shotgun sequence.
AAAAGCAAAGAUAAAAACACAGUUCUGGUUGGUAGUCCAGACGCAGGAUCAUCCUGUCAGUAACCUGCCUCCUAAGGUUGUCCGUUCUUUGUCACUAUUUU